CAGCCGCCGCGGUAAUACAGAGGGUGCGAGCGUUAAUCGGAUUUACUGGGCGUAAAGCGCGCGUAGGUGGUUUGGUAAGAUGGAUGUGAAAUCCCCGGGCUCAACCUGGGAACUGCAUCCAUAACUGCCUGACUAGAGUACGGUAGAGGGUGGUGGAAUUUCCUGUGUAGCGGUGAAAUGCGUAGAUAUAGGAAGGAACACCAGUGGCGAAGGCGACCACCUGGACUGAUACUGACACUGAGGUGCGAAAGCGUGGGGAGCAAACAGGAUUAGAUACCCGGGUAGUCCCUGUCUCUUAUAC
rnacentral:rRNA from 1 species